AGAAGCUUGAUUACACAUUUGUGGGUAUCAGUCAGCAAGAUGUGAAUGAACUUCGCGAGAAACAUGACGUCGUUCCAAUGAAGUUGGAUCAAACUAGGCUUGCUGUUGAAACUGGAGAUGUUAUUCAUAUUCCACAACAUCCUGAUGGAAGACAAAAGAGAAUCAGCUAUUCCACAGUCUGUAAGGUCACUGCAUUUGAAGUAUUUUAUAAAGCUGACACAGAUUUUGGUUCAUCUGGAUCCCCAGUGUUUUACACUCAAAGUAAUAAUAUGUAUGUCCUGGCCUUACACAAAGAUGGUGGAGUGGAAUUAUCUAAUGGAAGACAGGCCAAUAGAGGAAUAUUAAUUAGUGCUAUUUUGGAUCACAUAUGUCAACACAGUG
rnacentral:lncRNA from 1 species